UAUUGUUGAAAAAGUGCUGCUAAAUUUUAAACAAGCAAUAGUUUCCUUAGGGAAAGAAUCGGAAAGCCUAAUAAAAGAGAAAAAUAUUUCCCUUCUCAAAAUUGUUUAUUCAAACAAUUGAGAAUAAUAAAAAGAGAAAAAAUAUAGAGGAAAAUAAAGAAUCCAUCUUAAAAUAGCCAGAUUUCCCGCCACCGACGAUUUUUGACGGGAUAAUCGCGGAAUCGGCAGUCCUGAAACAAACUUAUAAACAAAAAUAUUCUCGUCAAAUUGUAAAAUGAGUAAAUACUCCAUUUUCAAUGGAAACGAUGAAGAUGAAAACGAAACGGAACAGAAAUAUGCACACAUUAUCAAUCAGGCGAGUACGAAAAACUUGGUGGCGGAAAACAAUUCCGAAAAAGCCGGUCGCUGCAAGUGGACAGACGGUGAGGUAGAGUUCUUUUUGGGAAUAAUUCACCAACUGAAGCUGCAAGCUCCACUGAAAAGAGCGCCCAGCAGUGCAAAGGUCUUCAGGGUUAUUUCCCGGGAAAUGGGCAGACGCAAUUGUCACAAGAGCCCGAAGCAAUUAAAGAUUAAGUACCAACAAAUGAGACGGCAAUAUACAAUGGCCAGAAAUGGUGGCGAGCCCUUUGAGCAUUUCGAAGCAGUUCACGAGUUGAUGCAAGGAGACGAAGGCUCCGAUCUGGAUGGACAGGAACUAGAAAGUGACAGCGAAGGGGAAGCCGACGAGGAUCAAUCCGGUAUGAUCACGGAAACCGAAGGCGAUGAUGCCUUGGAUGCCUCUGGAUCGUCGAUUAACAUCGUUAGUCGUUGCAGGUGGGCCGAAGGCGAGGUGGACAUCCUCCUGGACCUGAUUCACUCAAUGGGCUUGCGUACAGCUUUGCUUCGAAAACGCAAUGCAAAGGUCUUUAAGUUGCUGGCCAAAGAGAUGGCUAAGCGGAAUUGUCACAAGGGUGCGGACAAGCUGCGCAUCAAGUUCCAGUUGCUGCGCCGGAUGUACAACAAGGCUAAGAACGGCGCCGGGGAUACGUUCGAGCACUUUGAGGCUAUGCGACAGGUCCUGGACCCCACCGAAGAGGAGGCGGCUGCCGCAGAGGCUGAAGCGGAAGCCAAUCUCAGUAGUGCCAGCGAUAGUGACGAUGACAGUGACGACGAGGAUGGUGAUGCUUCUCAAAAAGGCGGAGCACACUUUUGGACUGAUGAAGAGGUGGAUUCUUUUCUACUCAUUAUUCGGGACAAUGGAUUUUUUCGGGCCUUGGAUGGUUCAAGGAAACGUAACUUUCAGACCCUGGCACAUAUUUCCAAUAUCCUAGCCAAGCAGGCCAUCAAACGCACUCCCCACCAGCUGCGCAAUAAACUGAGAUUGCUCUUCAAGCGGCAUCGAGAGGCCAAGGAACACGGCUUGGAUAAUGUAAGGAUUCUACCCCGCCACUUUGAGCUCUUCAAUGAGCUCAUUCAGGCACCGCGGGAAAACCGAAAGAGCGUCAUUCCAAGGCCUACCCGCCAUAACAAACCAUCCCUUGCCAAGACGCAAGGCAACAUGAAUGCUCCGCUGGAGAGUGACAGCGAAAACUCAAGCUCUACCUGUGAUCUCUUAAAAGCGGCUGUCAACAGUGAGGACUACGAGGAUGCAAUGGACUUGGAGGCUGAACCAACACCAAUUGAAGCACUCACAGCCAUCAUAGAAGGUCAAAAGCAACUAUUGACUCAAAUCAAAACCGCCAACGAAAACUUCCUGCGACAGCAACACGAGCAGCAGCAACAAUUUCUGCUACAAGUCUCCGAUAUGAUGCGCCGAGACCGAGAGGAGACCCUGCGCAGGAUCAGUGAAAUGCUUUCCCCGAAAUAAUCAAAAGCCAACUCAAGCUUCUAAAACUUUUAUUGAAUUGAAUUCGAAGUUAUUGCAAAAAGUUUUCAUUAUUUAUAUAUAUUAUAUCUGAUGGACGAGAUGGAAGGGGAGGGAGGAAGCUGGGCUGAGAUAUCGCGAUGAUCGAUGAUGUCGGUGAUCGCGAUUCGAUGGCAGCAUGGCAUGCGGAUGUUGAUGUGGCGCCACCUGUUGCUGGGAUUUGAUGUUGCUGCUGUGACGAUGUGACGACGAUGUUGCUGCUGUGAAAAGAGACAUCGCGACUCCCACUGGCAUACAUAUAACCCUAUAUAUGCCAUAUAUGUAUUUAUAUCUGAUAUAUCGAAUAGAGUCUGCACGCUGACCGUACCGUUAUAAUUCGAAAUUCACGUUGUUCGUUUAUUUGGAAUUCUCAAAUAUACAACAAAAGCUUACACUUUCAA